UACGGAGGGUGCAAACGUUGCUCGGAAUCAUUGGGCGUAAAGCGCACGUAGGCGGUUUGUUAAGUCGGGUGUGAAAGCCCUGGGCUCAACCCAGGAAGUGCACUCGAAACUGGCAGGCUUGAAUAUGGAAGAGGGUCGCGGAAUUCCCGGUGUAGAGGUGAAAUGCGUAGAUAUCCGGAGGAACACCGGUGGCGAAGGCGGCUUCCUGGACCGACACUGACGCUGAGGCGCGAAAGCUAGGGGAGCAAACGGG
rnacentral:rRNA from 1 species